GUAAUGCAGUGUUGUUAUUUUGUUUGUUACCUAUAGGCCUCGUUUGUGUUAGGAUGGGCAUUACAGCGUGCAUUGUCUUUUGCAGUGUCUCCCUGUCACAAACCCGCUCCUUCCUGUAACGGAACCGGGUUGAGUUUUGCUGCUGGCUCCGUGUAGCUGUACUAUCGGCACUAUUGGUGUAUUGGUGCGAAGCUCCCUGACGGGGUUGUAAACUGCUUCGCUUGCGCUGGUAUCUGCACUAGCCCCUCCCUUCCCUGCCACGCUGCUGUUUUGUCUCAACUGACUUCUGUUUCAACCAUAGACUGUUCCACGGGUUGUAGCUACAUGAGCUUACUCCAGGCUUUGAACGCCUCUACGCGCCUUUCAGCGCCAGGAUCUGUUGCCCAACUGGGUGUCCGAUACGAUAUUUGAGUGAUUGUGACACGAACGAUAGCUUUGCCUUUCUUUGGCUUGCCCGUGCUUAUUAAUAUGUGUGUGGAGAUUGGGGUCUAUGUCUAUGGGUUUAUUUGUUGAACUAUGAUUAAGUGAUUUUUGG